ACUCAAAUGAAUUGACGGGGGCCCGCACAAGCGGUGGAGCAUGUGGUUUAAUUCGACGCAACGCGAAGAACCUUACCAGGUCUUGACAUCCUCUGACAACCUAAGAGAUUAGGUAUUCUGACUUCGGUCAGACAGAGAGACAGGUGGUGCAUGGUUGUCGUCAGCUCGUGUCGUGAGAUGUUGGGUUAAGUCCCGCAACGAGCGCAACCCUUAUUCUUAGUUGCCAGCAAGUAGAGUUGGGCACUCUAAGGAGACUGCCGGUGACAAACCGGAGGAAGGUGGGGAUGACGUCAAAUCAUCAUGCCCUUUAUGACCUGGGCUACACACGUGCUACAAUGGCCUGUACAAAGGGUAGCGAAGCCGCGAGGCGGAGCCAAUCCCAAAAAGCAGGUCUCAGUUCGGAUUGCAGGCUGCAACUCGCCUGCAUGAAGUCGGAAUCGCUAGUAAUCGCGGGUCAGCAUACCGCGGUGAAUACGUUCCCGGGCCUUGUACACACCGCCCGU
rnacentral:rRNA from 1 species